UAGAGAAGAUGGCUCAGGCCAACUUCUAUGGCUAAACCCUACAUCGGCCACAAAUGUAACCUUGAAGACAAAGCAUUGGAUUAAUAAAUUAGAAUUAGGUCUUCCCAACAAUUUCAAACCUUUAUUUUGUCACUUAACGGAAGGUCCUUGUAAUUCAAAUAGUUAAAAAUAAUUACUCCUGCGUAUGAGUUCUUGUGUCAAAAUCUCCCUCUUUCAAUAUCAUUUGUAUAAAAAACAAAACAAAAAAUUUGUCACUGGACAUUUGAACUAAUAGGUGCCAGAUCUGGAUGGACAAGUUUGAUGCGGGGAACAUUGGGCCAUGAUGAGGAGGUUGAUGCUAUCUGGAAUGCACCGACAAUGAUGAUCUGGUUGGACUUUUGGAAGCCUACUCAAAGCUAAGGCUAGCUAAGGCUGUGUAUCCCAUGCCCAGCUGCAAUGUCCCAGUCAGAACUCCGAGUCGCAUUCAGAGCAUAUAGGCAAGGCUCACCUGCUCAUCUUAUAUCUAGUUUCUUCUGCUUCUGUUCCCAAACUUGAGGACAAAAACCAUCAAAUUCUUUGAUCCUCUCUGAUCUAUAGCCCAACAGAUAUGAGGAUUUUGAGGGCUAUGAAUCAAGACAUAUAUAGCUGGCUUGAGGAACCUCCCACAUGUAGAUAUAAAUAAGGAGGUUUGUUGUCUCUGCCCUACUUUACCAGAAGUGGUUGGCAGAACACCAAGUCAAGGAGACUCAAAAUGCAUCUUGAAAUUUCCGAAGAAAAUGUUCUUUGGGAUUAAGUUUGCAGGACUGUCAUGCUUGGUGUUCUUCUGUUCAUGCCUUUACAUUCUUAAUCUCUUCCUGUCCUUUUGGUGUGUAUGGUUCUGUUUUGGUUCUUAAACUGAUGUCCUGUUUUGCUUCUUUGGUUAAAAUCUAUGCGGCCAAAGUGGAUUUGAUA